rnacentral:rRNA from 1 species
AACAGGAUUAGAUACCCUGGUAGUCCACGCCCUAAACGAUGUCUACUAGUUGUCGGGUCUUAAUUGACUUGGUAACGCAGCUAACGCGUGAAGUAGACCGCCUGGGGAGUACGGUCGCAAGAUUAAAACUCAAAGGAAUUGACGGGGACCCGCACAAGCGGUGGAUGAUGUGGAUUAAUUCGAUGCAACGCGAAAAACCUUACCUACCCUUGACAUGGACGGAAUCCUCGAGAGAUUGAGGAGUGCUCGAAAGAGAGCCGUUACACAGGUGCUGCAUGGCUGUCGUCAGCUCGUGUCGUGAGAUGUUGGGUUAAGUCCCGCAACGAGCGCAACCCUUGUCAUUAGUUGCUACGAAAGGGCACUCUAAUGAGACUGCCGGUGACAAACCGGAGGAAGGUGGGGAUGACGUCAAGUCCUCAUGGCCCUUAUGGGUAGGGCUUCACACGUCAUACAAUGGUACAUACAGAGCGCCGCCAACCCGCGAGGGGGAGCUAAACGCAGAAAGUGUAUCGUAGUCCGGAUUGUAGUCUGCAACUCGACUGCAUGAAGUUGGAAUCGCUAGUAAUCGCGGAUCAGCAUGUCGCGGUGAAUACGUUCCCGGGUCUUGUACACACCGCCCGUCACACCAUGGGAGCGGGUUUUACCAGAAGUAGGUAGCUUAACCGUAAGGAGGGCGCUUACCACGGUAGGAUUCGUGACUGGGGUGAAGUCGUAACAAGGUAACCGUA